CGAGUCAUUAGAGAGUUUGUUUGCUCAAGGGCUCCACGGAAAACCUUUCCCUGCUACUGGACAAGCUGAACAAAUAUGGCACCAGAACUGUUUUUCACAUUUCUACUCGGAGAUUGAUUUAUCACACACUUUGAACGCGUACCAUUCGAAAUCACCUUGCUUCCUUCUCGCUCACUCUAUCCAAUCAUGAAUUCCAUGCCAAGACUACCUACAUCUGCUCCAAAUGCUUGCGACAAAACUCGUCACACUCCAAAUGAUACAGCAAUAGUAAAAUAUGGUAAAACAAAACACAUUGAAAAAGCUAUUGGACGAGCAAUUAGCAAACUGUUAUACGCUUGCCUCUCGCUCCGUCGAUUUACGCCUGAAGGUAUACCUCACGCAUUACACCACAUUGAAAUAACGGAAACUGGUUUGAGGAAAAGUCCGCGGAACGGCUUUAUACCGAGCUAAAUGAUGAAAAACAAGGUAAAAAUAAUUCUGUAAACAUAUCAUG